UACGUAGGGGGCAAGCGUUAUCCAGAUUUACUGGGUGUAAAGGGAGCGUAGACGGUUAAUCAAGUCAGAAGUGAAAACCCAGGGCUCAACCUUGGGACUGCUUUUGAAACUGAGUAGCUAGAGUGCAGGAGAGGUAAGCGGAAUUCCUAGUGUAGCGGUGAAAUGCGUAGAUAUUAGGAGGAACACCAGUGGCGAAGGCGGCUUACUGGACUGUAACUGACGUUGAGGCUCGAAAGCGUGGGGAGCAAACAGG
rnacentral:rRNA from 1 species